CUCAGGCCCCUGCUGCUGAGGCAUUCCAGUGUUCUCCCUCCCAGCCACCAGCCGCCUGAACUCUGGACGCCCCUUCACCCCAACUAAGUCAGCUUGGGCCCUGCCUGGCCCCCACCCACUGAGCUCAGUCACAUCAGCCCCUCCCUGUGGGGUGUCCCACAGCAGUCAGCUGCUGCUUGCAGUUCAUUGGUGGGGACCACAUACCAGCCACCCCUGGAGCUGGAGUUCAAACGUGGACCUCCUAGCAUGUGUUUGAUCAGCUGAGGCCAAAUCCACAACCUUCUAGGAAAUGGCGCCUACCAGCUCAGCUGUUCUCUGGAGCAACCGGGGACUUAUGGCCAAACAGCCAAGGCAUGAAGGAAGCUGCUCUGGCCACACUGACAAGAAACCAGCAGGAACAGAUGUGGGCAGUGCUUGAUGACUCUGCAGCAGAAUCCUACCAUCUAUUGCUCAGGACAUCUGAUCACUCAGCUUCCAGAAGUGUCUGCACAGCCGGAAGUACACCAAAGCCUCAGCCCAUUCCAGGCAUGGCCCCAGGCCUGUCAUCUCAGUUCCCUGGGUCAUCCUGACACACCUGCACAGACUCGGAAAGGAGCCCUAGUGGCUGAGGAUUGGUCUACUUCUGGCCCAAGAAAUAUUUCACAAGUGACUUCACUAGGUCCUGUGUCCUGACACUCUGAUGGCUGUGUCCUUCCCAGGUUCUCACCUGGGCCAGACUCUAGCACUUAUAUGCAUAACCAAAGCUGAUUAAAGCAACAAUACACCA